rnacentral:rRNA from 1 species
AGGACGAACGCUGGCGGCGUGCCUAACACAUGCAAGUCGAGCGAGGAGAUCCUCGGGAUGAUCCUAGCGGCGGACGGGUGAGUAACACGUGGGCAGCCUGCCUCAUAGAGAGGAAUAGCCUUCCGAAAGGGAGAUUAAUACCUCAUAACAUUGCAGUUUCGCAUGGAACAGCAAUUAAAGGAGUAAUCCGCUAUGAGAUGGGCCCGCGGCGCAUUAGCUAGUUGGUGAGGUAACGGCUCACCAAGGCGACGAUGCGUAGCCGACCUGAGAGGGUGAUCGGCCACAUUGGGACUGAGACACGGCCCAGACUCCUACGGGAGGCAGCAGUGGGGAAUAUUGCACAAUGGGGGAAACCCUGAUGCAAGCAACGCCGCGUGAGUGAUGACGGCCUUCGGGUUGUAAAGCUCUGUCUUCAGGGACGAUAAUGACGGUACCUGAGGAGGAAGCCACGGCUAACUACGUGCCAGCAGCGGC